UGGGGAAUAUUGCACAAUGGGGGAAACCCUGAUGCAGCGACGCCGCGUGAGUGAAGAAGUAUUUCGGUAUGUAAAGCUCUAUCAGCAGGAACGAGACAAGACGGUACCUGACUAAGAAGCCCCGGCUAACUACGUGCCAGCAGCCGCGGUAAUACGUAGGGGGCAAGCGUUAUCCGGAAUCACUGGGUGUAAAGGGAGCGUAGACGGCUGAGCAAGCCUGAAGUGAAAGGCGGGGGCCCAACCCCUGGACUGCUUUGGGAACUGUACGGCUGGAGUGCAGGAGAGGUAAGUGGAAUUCCUAGU
rnacentral:rRNA from 1 species